AUGGACGGUCAACACCGAAAUCAGAUUGAUUAUAUUCUUUGCAGCCAAAGAUGGGGAAGCUCUAUACAGUUAACAAAAUCAGGACCAGGAGCUGACUAUGGCUUGGAUCAUGAACUCCUUAUUACCAAAUUCAGACUGAAAUUGAAGAAAGUAGGGAAAACCACUAGACCAUUCAGGUAUGACCUAAAUCAAAUCUCUUAUGAUUAUACAGUGGAAGUGAGAAAUAGAUUUAAGGGCCUAGAUCUGAUAGAUAGAGUGCCUGAUGAACUAUGGAUGGAGGUUCAUGACAUUGUACAGGAGACAGGGAUCAAGACCAUCCUCAUGGAAAAAAAAUGCAAAAAAGCAAAAUGGCUGUCUGGGGAGGCCUUACAAAUAGCUGUGAAAAGAAGAGAAGCAAAAAGCAAAGGAGAAAAGGAAAGGUAUAAGCAUCUGAAUGCAGAGUUCCAAACAAUAGGAAGGAGAAAUAAGAAAGCCUUCCUCAGUGAUCAAUGCAAAGAAAUAGAGGAAAACAACAGAAUGGGAAAGACUAGAGAUCUCUUCAAGAAAAUUAGAGAUACCAAGGGAACAUUUCAUGCAAAGAUGGGCUCGAUAAAGGACAGAAAUGGUAUGGACCUAACAGAAGCAGAAGAUAUUAAGAAGAGGUGGCAAGAAUACACAGAAGAACUGUACAAAAAAGAUCUUCAUGACCCAGAUAAUCAUGAUGGUGUGAUCACUCAUCUAGAGCCAGACAUCCUGGAAUGUGAAGUCAAGUGGGCCUUAGAAAGCAUCACUACAAACAAAGCUAGUGGAGGUGAUGGAAUUCCAGUAGAGCUAUUUCAAAUCCUGAAAGAUGAUGCUGUGAAAGUGCUGCACUCAAUAUGCCAGCAAAUUUGGAAAACUCAGCAGUGGCCUCAGGACUGGAAAAGGUCAGUUUUUAUUCCAAUCCCAAAAAAAGGCAAUGCCAAAGAAUGCUCAAACUACCACACAAUUGCACUCAUCUCACAUGCUAGUAAAGUAAUGCUCAAAAUUCUCCAAGCCAGGCUUCAGCAAUACAUGAACCGUGAACUCCCAGAUGUUCAAGCUGGUUUUAGAAAAGGCAGAGGAACCAGAGAUCAAAUUGCCAACAUCUGCUGGAUCAUGGAAAAAGCAAGAGAGUUCCAGAAAAACACCUAUUUCUGCUUUAUUGACCAUGCCAAAGCCUUUGACUGUGUGGAUCACAAUCAACUGUGGAAAAUUCUGAAAGAGAUGGGAAUACCAGACCACCUGACCUGCCUCUUGAGAAACCUGUAUGUAGGUCAGGAAGCAACAGUUAGAACUGGACACGGAACAACAGACUGGUUUCAAAUAGGAAAAGGAGUACAUCAAGGCUGUAUAUUGUCACCCUGCUUAUUUAACUUAUAUGCAGAGUACAUCAUGAGAAAUGCUGGACUGGAAGAAGCACAAGCUGGAAUCAAGAUUGCUGGGAGAAAUAUCAAGAACCUCAGAUAUGCAGAUGACACCACCUUUAUGGCAGAAGGUGAAGAGGAACUAAAAAGCCUCUUGAUGAAAGUGAAAGAGGAGAGUGAAAAAGUUGGCUUAAAGCUCAACAUUCAGAAAACAAAGAUCAUGGCAUCCGGUCCCAUCACUUCAUGGGAAAUAGAUGGGGAAACAGUGGAAACAGUGUCAGACUUUAUUUUUGGGGGCUCCAAAAUCACUGUAGAUGGUGACUACAGCCAUGAAAUUAAAAGACGUUUACUCCUUGGAAGAAAAGUUAUGAGCAACCUAGAUAGCAUAUUCAAAAGCAGAGACAUUGCUUUGCUGACUAAGGUCCUUCUAGUCAAGGCUAUGGUUCUUCCAGUGGUCAUGUAUGGAUGUGAGAGUUGGACUGUGAAGAAGGCUGAGUGCCGAAGAAUUGACACUUUUGAACUGUGGUGUUGGAGAAGACUCUUGUGA
rnacentral:lncRNA from 1 species